ACUUUGCACAAUUGUUAGUGGUUGUAAUUUUAUAUCAACAUCACGUGCUUUGCUUUUUUGCAACUCUUCCAUUUCGUAAAUUAUUUAUUAAAGGUUUUUCUAACUUAAAUGUUCAGAAUAUUAUCAAACUGAUGAAUUCGUUCUUCAAAAAUUAAGUAUCAACUUCAGUUCCUGUUUGUACCAAAUCAUUAUACAGUAAGUUUCAUACAAAUAAUUAAUUCAUAUCAAAUAUUAUUCUUCGAUUAAUCUUUGGAUACUAAUGCCAUUAAUUCAUAAAGUCAGAAGAGUCGAGUGUAUUUGCGCAAUGAGUCAAAUGGAUUGGAGUCGUAUAAUAUAAAUGUUUGGAUUCAGAGCCAAGAUCACAAUAUAUUAUUCCAAACUGAAACUAUUAAUUAAGAAUAAUUUAUUUUUAGAUUUUUUUCAGGUUGGAUCCUGCCUUCCUAAUCUGCAGCUAUUUUAAAAUUUGUAUUUUCCAAUCAUAGACAAAUAUACAUAUCAUCUGUGCUUCAAACCUACUCCGUGAGUAAAUACAUAUGACUCUGCAGACUCCCGCCUCACUCAUCAGCCAUAAUUAUAACUUCAUGGGAAUUAAACAAAAUCGAUACAGUCUCAAUGAGGUUUACAAUUCGUCUUAUUUCGGAACCAAAUAUAGUUAUCCCAAUGAAUGAAUUACAUUAUUAAUGCAACAUUAAUGGAAGAAUAUUUCAUAUUAUUUGACUAAUAGUAAAUUUGUAGGCUGACAAGGCAUUAAUAUUAAUGGAUAACUGUCAUCCAAUCUAUCUUGGAAAACGCCUGCAGACUCUCAUGCAGUGGCUACAUUUACAAGCCUUCUUUCAAAUUGUGUAAGAUAAAGAGCAUUUUUAUGUUACAAGUUAUGACUUUCAAUUAUUAAAUGAGAUAUUUUUAAACUUUAUGAAUAUCUUCUUCUUGAGGCCAUGAAUAAAAAGCACCUAUUUUCAAUUUUAA
rnacentral:lncRNA from 1 species